rnacentral:ncRNA from 2 species
AAACCAUCAAGAGAAACCGAGAGACUGGCUCUAUGACGUUUCAGCAACCUAUCUUAUAGAUGUGGUGCUAAUUCCAGACAGAUGGAAG